rnacentral:lncRNA from 1 species
GUUUCAUAUAUCCCCGCAAGUUCCGCAGGCUUACACUGGACUCCCUUUGCUUUUGCAGGGAGACUGAUUCAUAAUUAUCGACCUGCAGGACGCCUAUUUCCACAUAUCCAUUCAUCGGGACCAUCAGAAAUUCCUCCGGUUUCAUUUCAACGGCACCGCUUUCCAAUUCUGUGCCCUCCUGUUUGGGCUCUCCACCGCCCCCCGGACUUUCACCAAGCGCAUGGCACCGGUGGCUGCUUUCCUCCGACUACAGGGAGUAAACAUUUAUCCCUACAUCAAUGACUGGUUGAUAGUGGCGACAUCGUACCAUGACGCCAUUAAAGCACAAGACACAACGCUCCACACGCUUCACAGUCUUGGCCUCAAGAUCAACCGCGAGAAGUCGCACUUGAUCCCAAAGCAGACGGCCAAGUUCAUAGACAUGGAAAUAGACUCCCUCCGUGCAAGAGCUUUCCUGCCUCCAGACAGGAUCAGGAAAAUCCAAAUGGCUGUCCACCUUUUCCAAACACAUCACUCCAUUUCGGCGCAUCAUGCCCAAUACCUCCUGGGGCUCAUGGCGUCGACGACGACUGUCGUCCAACACGCCAGGCUCAAAAUGAGAUCCCUGCAGGCAUGGUUCCUUUCCCUGUUCAAUCCCGAAACAGAUCUCCCUUCCACCCUACUGCAGGUGAUACCAGAACUAGCCUCCCUGCUCGACUGGUGGACUUGCCCCGACAACCUCCUCAUCAGCAGUCUUUUCUCGCCUCUCAGACCUUCCAUACAGGUCACAACCAAUGCCAGCCCCAUGGGGUGGGGCGCACACUGCCUUCAAUACACAGUCCACGGACUCUGGUCAAAUCAAGAGCUGCCACUUCACAUAAACCAUCUAGAACUGUUGGCAAUCAUCAAAGCAUUCCAUGCCUUUCUUCCCCUCAUCCGAGGUCAGGUAGUGCAGUUGGCAACAGACAACACCACUGCACUAUUUUAUGUCAACAAACAAAGAGGUACCCACUCCCCUUCUCUGCUCUACCUAGCUGUCGACCUCUGGGAGUGCUGCUAUUCCCAUCAUGUUUUCCCUAUUGCCGUCCACAUUUCCACUGACAACAACACCCUGGCAGAUUGGCUCAGUCAGCUGAGAACACAUGAAUGGACU